AUAACACUAUAUCGUCUAUUUUUGUGUACAAUUCUUAAAGAUAUUUUCAUAGUUACAGACGAUUACUGUUGACAAUGAUACUUUUCUUGUUUGGGAUUCUGUUAAUGAAUCAAUCAAAAUGUCCGACAAGAAAUUACGAAGCAAACAAAGACAUUCUAGUCCCAAUCCGAAUAUGAAAAUUUGGACUUUCAACACAUCAUACCACCAAGUGGUUCUAGUAAAGAAGAGUUGAAAAUUGCGAAAGGUUGGAGAUUGGGACAACCCUAUUUGUUUGGAUUCAAAGAUGAAGAUUGACCUGGUGGUCUUAGCUUUGGUAUGCGUCAGUCCGAAAGGCUACAGAAUUGGCGCAAGCAGAGGAUCUGCAGUCUCAAGUUCGCAGUGAUGUUGGAAAUGGGGGCAAUAAAUGAGGAUACUGUGGUUGUGACGACGGUUCAUGAUUGUCAAAUUAUGGACAAUCUACCUGAAGAAUUAUUUAAGCAACACAAUGGUACUGGUAGACAUAAUUGUUACGCCUACUCAAACAAUAAUAGUCGAUCCGAAAUUUGUUAUUCGAAGGGAAUGAUAAUGAAAUAAAAAAAAGAUUAUUUGAUGCUAUCAAAACUUGAAUAAUUUAACUUUUGUUAUUUUUCUAUUGAGAUUUUCACACUUAAUUUAUUAUACAUUGUUUUAUUCAGUUAAUUGUUCGUUCUAUGUAUACUGGAAAGUAUGAAAAAAACAUGAACCGAUGUAUGACUACUCGGUAUGUAUUCAUGAUGCUAAUAAUAAUUUGGAAAAAUAAAAUUAAUAAAAAAAGUA
rnacentral:lncRNA from 1 species